rnacentral:rRNA from 2 species
UCUAAUACCGGAUACGACGCGCUCGGGCAUCCGAUGUGCGUGGAAAGCUCCGGCGGUGAAGGAUGAGCCCGCGGCCUAUCAGCUUGUUGGUGAGGUAACGGCUCACCAAGGCGACGACGGG